AAGGAAGGAGCAAUAUGGAUUGCGGAUUGGUUUGAAGCCUUUUUAUGGGGUUCAAUUCCCCUCUUUCUUG
rnacentral:tRNA from 1 species